CUGGGACACAGAGGGGGCUCCGAGACCGGGAUUGAUUCGGGGCAAGUACUCAAAGGACCAAGACAAUGUAAUAUUCCCUCGGUACAGAGCCGAGUGUGACCAGCUGCUUCUAACAAACAGCAGGUAUGUUACUGCUGUCAGAGCGAAGAACAUCCUUUCCACUGUCAGAUUUUUCCACACAUUGAGCUCAGUUUAAGACAGAGAUGUUCAAACAA